rnacentral:misc_RNA from 1 species
GACAAUCUGUGGAAGUAUCUUCGGUUCUGUAGUUGAUCUUUGUGCAAUAAAGGACAACAUAUGAAUAAGAGGUGCAACCCACAUGGAUAGCUGCCCUACUCUUUGGUCAUGUUAGUUGGCAGCACUAAAUCAUUAGUGUAUUAUUUCUCCAUAGGAAAACUUAGAAGGUGCAAGGAGUUAAUUAUCUGAUUAUUAUUGACAUAAAGUCAUUGGAAUGGUCUGUGAUUCUGAAAAAUAUGUCAUUUGUUAACAGGAGAAGUGUAUUGUCUAUAUAAA